GACCGUGUCCAAGUCCCUUGGAACAGGGUAUCAAAGAGGGUGACAAUCCCGUACUUGACACGAUGACCGGUGCUCUGUGAUACGUCUUCUACGAGUCGAGUUGUUUGGGAAUGCAGCUCAAAAUGGGUGGUGAGUUCCAUCUAAAGCUAAAUAUUGGCGAGAGACCGAUAGCGAACAAGUACCGUGAGGGAAAGAUGAAAAGCACUUUGGAAAGAGAGUUAAACAGUACGUGAAAUUGUUGAAAGGGAAACGAUUGAAGUCAGUCGUGACUGAGAGGCUCAGCCGGUUCUGCCGGUCUAUUCCCCUCAGUCGGGUCAACAUCAGUUUUGUCCGGUGGAUAAGGGCAGCAGGAAGGUGGCACCCUCGGGUGUGUUAUAGCCUGUUGUCGCAUACAUCGGAUGAGACUGAGGAAUGCAGCUCGCCUUUAUGGCCGGGGCCCGCCCACGUCCGAGCUUAGGAUGUUGACAUAAUGGCUUUAAACGAC
rnacentral:rRNA from 1 species